AGUCGCCAACACACAUCCCUGCGCACACGUUGUCGGGUUUGCUGUCCCCUAUCAGAGACCUGCCGAACUUCUGGGGUUCGGAGGAGCCGGGUGGGAAGGUGGUUUGGGGUGUUAGGAGCGAUUGCUGACAGGGACCACGUUCUCGCAUGCAUGAGCUCUACCCACUUGAUACCUGAAAUCAGGUUCAUCUGUUUCAACUGGUGCUUAUGACCAUCGGAUGGGGGGCGGGGGAGGGUGGGCAGGAGCAAAGCGGAGUGUUUUUCAGUAAUUAGCGAGUGUCAAUAAAGAAUAGGAGCUUGAUUUUGAGAUUAGAAGGUAGGCAAAAGAGAGAAGAGCCCACUGACAAAAGAUACUCAAGGAGGACGGGAAGAUGUAGCUGAGGCUGACAAUGAAUUGUAGGUUUUCCCAGUGUGAUCCCUCCAGAAAGAGAACACCCUCUAUGCGUGUCCUUGUUUCUCUUUUUUGUUUAGGGUCCUUCUCUAGUUAGGCAGCACAACCUCGGACAAAGGCUGAUGUGUGCUUCCAUGCCUUUGACUUUGUCUUAGAGGACUAGUUAAGAAACUCCCAGGAUGCUGAAGGGCACCGAUGCCAAGUUGGCUAGCCGUCCCAGGGAGGAUGAAGUGGGGCUGGUGACAAGUUCACUGGGCUUUGUGAAGUGGAAUAAAGAAAGUGCUGGUCAGUGGAAAGUGCUGGCUCUGCUGCGGAAACAGUGGUUUUUUUCAGCAGCGAUUAGGAGCUGCUGAGGGGACAUUCUGCAGGAAAGAUGGUGGGUGGGGGCGGGGGGACACGGGUAUUUAAAAAUUGUACAGUGUGCACCAUGGAAAGUCCAAGAAGACAGUCCGGAUUUGCACAUAGGAAGUGUGAACUUGUACAGUCCGUCCUGGAGAAACCCGCUUGCCCUUGGGGGGAGGGCUGUGAGAGGCUCGGUGUGUGGCUGCUCGUGUAAUUUCUUCGCUUAGUGACAGCAGCUUGUUAAGGCUAAUGAACGGCUGAAUUUCCUCUGCCGGGAUCCAAAGCAGGAUUUGCCAGCUUGAGGCUGAGAUGUAACAGUCUCUGCUUUAGCAAAAGAGGUUUGGCUUUUGGUAUAAGGAGCCGAGUGGCAAGGCGGAUCCUUUAACUGUACCAUUGUUGCUAGUUCACUUCUGGUCAGAGGCUGUGAGUUUUCCUCCAGGUAUUGGCGUCUGGUGUCUCUGUGUCCACACAUGCAUUCUUGUCCAAGGACGCUAGCAGAUGCUUGACUCUGUCUCUCUGUAAACACAUACACAGUUCACAUAUUUUUAGAAUAAAGUCUUUCUUCAAUGCAUCCUUUUCCUUAUCCUUAACGAGAGUGUGUCUCAUGAAGGGUCUCACUGGAUCUUUUUCUUCCUUUUAUUUCCAAUGCUAAUUAAACCAAAAUCUUCUGAAAUAGCCUUCAUUUCACACUGUCAGCCCACUGGAUAUGGGAUAAUUGUCCUGCUUAAUAGUCAGUGAGCCUGUGACAAAGUCACUGACUGUGGCAGGGCUCCCUCUCGUCACGGAGAUCCUCGUUUUGACAUUGGAUUUUCUGGCAAUGAUGCCUUAGCCACAUAGCUCCAAGUCUGAAAAUAAUCGUUGCUGGUAUAAUUCUGAAAUCCAAAUGGACAUCACACAUUAACAGCUCUCCAUUCCUGGGCUCUGACUGCAUACUUAAGCACUCGGCCCAAGCCUGGGCUGCCAGGUGCUAUAUCAGCCAGGAAAACAAAGCAAACUGUAGGGUCUGUCCAUCCGUAGGUUUGCCUCAGUCCCCAAUUCGCAGAUAGCCUUGUCAUGAAUUAGAAUUUCUUGGCAACAGCACCACCCAGGGAAAUUUGUAGACACAAAGGAGCCUUGCUAGCCACACUGAAAGGAUAAAAUAACUGUUUUUUUUUGUAUUGUGCAAUGGGCUUUUAAUUAUCUUUGCUGGACCCCACGACUGGCAAAUGCAGAAAAUCGCUCUGUGAUUCCAGUUCACUCGAUAUAUCAGUUAGCCUAUGUGUUAGAACUGCGAUUUGCUGAAAGUUUAGGACAGCUCCCCAACUUAACUUGAAUGGUGCCAGAGGAAUAUACAUAUCCUUAUUCUAUCUAAAAUUCCCCAAAUAAACAAAAUGUUGCCAUUACUGGGACAUGCUUUUACCUAAGAUUGUUUGUGAUUUUGCUGUGCCCCACCUUGCCCAGAUUAGUUCCUGCUAAUUGGCAGAAUUAUUUCUACCACCCUACAUCCCUUUAGUUUUCCUUCUCGGGGUAUUUGGUGUGACCCUAAGAACUUGGUCCCGUUUAAACGACUCAUGUCCAUCCCCCCUCCAUUCGAGCAGUACCACAUGCUUGAUAUAUAAAUGUUACAGCUGAGCGUUUGCAGUAGCCUUGAGAUCUGAGUCUAGUAUCAGCCCAAAUGAGGAGCUUGACUGUAGUAAGGCAGAGAAAGCAUGUUCAAAAUUAAGUUAAACAGAAUAGAGCAUGAGUGCCAGAAAGAAGGAAAGAAAGAAAGAAACAUUCAGUUCUGUGUUGGAACACUGACCUGUGCCUAUCUGUAUUACCCACAUAGUUCCAACCUUGUUUAUAAAACAUACUUGAGAUUUACUAAGUUCUGUUGUGAAAAAGCUUUCAGCCAAUGUCAUGUUGUGGGCUGGAUACUUUUAGGGCAGAUGAGUAUACAAUGUGAAUACACAUAUCCAUAAUGGCCAGGAAACAGUGCCCAUGUCUGUGCCAUUCGGAAAUGAUUAGAGGUUUGACAUUCUAGUCAUUGUAACUCCUUUCUUUUUCUUGAAUCUAAUAAAAAAUUAGGUGAAAAGAUCUAAUUAGCGGAAGUCUAAAAUUAGUUGAAAAAUCCCACUGACUUGGCUUCUGAGGUGCUUUAGCAUCAGCCUGUCAUGGAUGGCACCCUUGGCCAUUGCCUUGCCACAAUCCCUGUCACCUCCCUGGACUUGCCUUUUUGCCACCAUCACCCCAGGUGGCCUGCUUUCAAACUGUUCAUGGCUCCCUCUUAUACAUAGCAUGAGGCCAAACUUCCAAGAGUCAGGGUGUUCCAAGACUGGGUCUACACAAUAUUUGCAAGUUCCCCCCUUUUCACAUGUAGUAAAUGCCAUCCAAAUUAAGUGACUAUGCUUUUCCUGCUUCUGUCUUUAUUUUUGUUGUUUCCUUUAGCCUUUUUCCUCUUCCUCCCUCUCCCCUUCCUGAUUUUCUUUGUCCAAGUUCCACCCAUUCCUUAACUUUCAAAUGGGUGCCAAACUCCCUCCCUUGCUACCAGCCAACUGUAACUGCUAUGAUUUCCAUACUCUUGUGCAGAGCUUUUUACUUCCCCG
rnacentral:lncRNA from 1 species